GGAAUAUUGGACAAUGGGGGAAACCCUGAUCCAGCAAUCCCGCGUGAGUGAUGAAGGCCUUCGGGUCGUAAAGCUCUUUCAGUAGGGAAGAAUAACUGACGGUACCUACAGAAGAAGCACCGGCUAACUCCGUGCCAGCAGCCGCGGUAAUACGGAGGGUGCAAGCGUUGUUCGGAAUCAUUGGGCGUAAAGCGCGUGUAGGCGGCCAUUUAAGUCUGGUGUGAAAGCCCGGGGCCUAACCCCGGAGGUGCACUGGAUACUGGGUGGCUAGAGGACGUGAGGGGAAAGCGGAAUUCCUGGUGUAGGGGUGAAAUCCGUAGAUAUCAGGAGGAACACCGGAGGCGAAGGCGGCUUUCUGGCACGUUACUGACGCUGAGACGCGAAAGCGUGGGGAGCAAA
rnacentral:rRNA from 1 species